rnacentral:lncRNA from 1 species
AGGAGAGUUUCUUCCGGAUAGAACUCCGUUGGGUUGCCUCAUUUUAGCAAAAAUGCUGCAGCUCAACCGCCUAUGUUUACAGAGCAGCCCUGGGAGUGCUUGGAGGUAAUUCUCACUGGGAACUCCUUGUUCUCAGCAUAACUUAGGCUAUGACUUACGGUGAAAUUAUAACUACUGCUUUCUCCUCAUUUCAGACUAUCUCAUCGGCACUAUCUCAUUAAAAGAAGCCACUUCUCCCUGACCUUCCCUCUGUUCUGCUCACCAUGAAUAUUUCUCCAAGCAUUUUGUCCUCGAUCUCUAUGAACCACAAUGACUAUCAAAGAAUGAAUCAAGAAUGAGUUGUCAUGUGGGAUGCCGCCUCAAUGUGGCCGGAUGAGCAGUACCCUGUCCGCACCCAGGAUCCGAACCUGCGAAACUCUGGGCUGCCGCAGCAGAGCACACGGACUUAACAGCUCGGCCACGGGCCCGGCCCCUAU